CUAAAUAGUUAGAGUAACUUUUAUAAACUGAUUUAAGUAGAUCCAAAAUGAACAGUUUGUUGUACUAACUCACUUGCAAUAAGUACACAUCUGUUUAUCAUUCAUUUUGAGUAUUGUUGCUUUGACCUGUUUGAGUUGUGAUCACUGAUUCAGCCCAAAGAAAUAAAACCCCUCCUUUUUCUGAUGUCAUCACUGAGCUUUGUGCACGAUGCAAGGUGUUUUGCCCGGACUUGUCCACCAUUAGAGGCACGCGACACAGAAGAAUUUUAGCGGCUACAUUGUGAAAAUUACAAGUGUUUGAUAAGAAGCAGCACACACGGAGAGAUCAUCCACUGCUCUUCUGCCUCUAAAGACAGCCAGUAAAGGCUUCCCACCUGACCUCCUGCAUGACCUGUUUGAAGGUGUCAUUCCAGUGGAGUUGGCGCAUUGCUUAAAAGUGUCUGACUAAAGAAGCAGAACUGAAACAUCAGCAGAUCUCCCCAGCCUUCCGCCAAUGUAAAGAAACUACAACCUCAGAUGGAGCCAACAGAGAGAUUGAAGCUAAGGGUCAUCCUUGAUCCUGAUAAUGCUGAAAGACUAAUUUUACCAUCUUGCCCAAGCAGUGUACAAGCCCUCAUAGAUGAGAUCAGAACUAGGCUAAAGUUGACUUUUGACUUUCGGCUUCAGUUUCACGACCCAGAUUUUGGUAAUGCAUUGUGUAAUUUGGUUGAAA